rnacentral:rRNA from 1 species
UACGGAGGGUGCGAGCGUUGUCCGGAAUCACUGGGCGUAAAGGGCGCGUAGGCGGUCUGCUAAGCGUGUGGUGAAAGCUCGGGGCUCAACCCCGAGUCUGCCAUGCGAACUGGUGGACUUGAGCACUGUAGAGGCAGGUGGAAUUCCGGGUGUAGCGGUGGAAUGCGUAGAGAUCCGGAAGAACACCAGUGGCGAAGGCGGCCGCUGGGCAGUUGCUGACGCUGAGGCGCGAACGCGUGGGGAGCAAACAGG